GAUGAACGCUGGCGGCGUGCCUAAUACAUGCAAGUCGAGCGAACAGACGAGGAGCUUGCUCCUCUGACGUUAGCGGCGGACGGGUGAGUAACACGUGGAUAACCUACCUAUAAGACUGGGAUAACUUCGGGAAACCGGAGCUAAUACCGGAUAAUAUAUUGAACCGCAUGGUUCAAUAGUGAAAGACGGUUUUGCUGUCACUUAUAGAUGGAUCCGCGCCGCAUUAGCUAGUUGGUAAGGUAACGGCUUACCAAGGCAACGAUGCGUAGCCGACCUGAGAGGGGGGUGGCCCACACUGGAACUGGACCAGGCACAACCCUCCAGCGGGAGGCGCAAGGAGGGACUUUCCCGGAAGGGGAGAAGGCCUGAGGGACCAGCGCCGGGUGAGGAAGGAGGUUCUUAGAAUCUAAAAACUUUUUUAUGGGGAAAAAAAAAAUGUUAAAAUAAAUAUGCACGUCUGGAGGUACCUUAAAAAGAAGCCCAGGGCAAACUCGGGC
rnacentral:rRNA from 1 species